UGGGGAAUUUUGGACAAUGGGCGCAAGCCUGAUCCAGCCACGCCGCGUGAGUGACUAAGGCCUUCGGGUCGUAAAUCUCUGUGGGGAGGGACGAACCGCUGCACGUUCAUAGCGUGCAGCAUGACGGUACCUCCUUAGCAAGCACCGGCUAACUUCGUGCCAGCAGCCGCGGUAAUACGAAGGGUGCAAACGUUGCUCGGAAUUAUUGGGCGUAAAGCGCACGUAGGCGGCUUGACAAGUCGGAUGUGAAAUCCCUCGGCUCAACCAAGGAAGUGCAUCCGAAACUGUCGAGCGUGAGUACGGAAGAGGAUCGCGGAAUUCCCGGUGUAGAGGUGAAAUUCGUAGAUAGCGGGAGGAAAACCAGUGGAGAAGGCGGCGAUCUGGGUCAGUACUGAAGCUCAUGCGCGAAAGCGUGGGGAGCAAACA
rnacentral:rRNA from 1 species